rnacentral:lncRNA from 1 species
AUUGGCUACGGCCGGGGACCCCUUCCCGCAGCAGACUCCCCAUUGGCUGAAGCCGGGGACCGCGAGACCCUUCGUGAUCUAGCAUUCCUGGAGGAAGGGCAUGUACCAUUAAACUCCGCCAUUUUGCCUCUUGGUGCAUAAGCUUGAGCCCAUUUACCCAACUUCUGAGAUCUUAUCGAGAAGCUGCUGAUCAUCAGUUUCAAGUGUUUUCCAUCUAUUUGGAGACUGCCUUUCCCUGGUGCUGGCUGCAACCAAUUACUAUUUUAGAGACAAGUUUAACAACCACCUGACCAUCACCUGAUGGUUGCCUAACAUUCCUGGUGGUGGGGUUGGGGCAGCACUCCUGCCCCAACAAUGGGAAUGUUGUCUUAUCGUGUGCAAUUUAAAAAUUAUAUCACUAUGGCCAGGCUCAGUGGCUCACGCCUGUAAUCCCAGCACUUUGGGAGGCCGAGGUGGUUGGAUCGUGAGGUCAGGAGUUCGAGACCAGCCUGGCCAAUAUGGUGAAACCCCGUCUCUACUAAUAAUACAAAAAUUAGCUGGGUGUGGUGGCUCACGCCUGUAGUCCCAGCUACUCGGGAGCCUGAGGCAGAAGAAUCGCUUGAACCCGGGAGGUGGAGGUUGCAGUGAGCCAAGAUCAUGCCACUGCACUCCAGCCUGGAUGACAGAGCCAGACUCCAUCUCAUAAAAAAAAAAAAAAAAAAAAAAAGAAAAGAAAAAGAAAGCAAACUUCAAAAGACUGUGCUACCUUUUGUAUACUGUGCUACCUUUUGUAUAAGGAAGAAGGGGAAAUAUGAAGACAUAAAUGUAUCUGCAGGUUUUUGCCAAGAAAAACAAAGUAUAAACCAGAAACUCAUCAAAUUGAUUACCUGUGAUGGGGGGAUGGGGGAAAAUGAGGAUUGCUUGAGCUCAGGAGGUCCUGGCUGCAGUGAGCCGUGAUCUCGCCACUGCACUCCAGCCUGAGCGACAGAGCGAGACCCUAUCUCAAAAUAAAAACAAAACAGACAGUAUGGGGAAAAUUGAUAAAUUUGGAAUAUAGACUACAAAGUAUUGCAUCCAUGAUAAAUUUCCUGAAUGUGUUAUGACUCUACUGGAGAUAUGGAAGGAUGUAUUCUUUUUUGUGGUUGUUGAGACAGGGUCUCGCUCUUGUCACCCAGGCUGGAGUGCAGCAGUGGGGUCUUGGCUCAAUGCAGCCUCCACCUCCCAGGCUCAAGAGAUCCUCCCACCUCAGUCUCCCAAGUAGUUGUGGCUGGAACUAUAGGUGUGCACCACCACGCCCAGCUAAUUUUUUGUUUCUUGGUUUUUUUUUCUUUUGGUAAAGAUGGGGUUUUGCUGUGUUGCCCAUGCUGGUCUUGAACUGCUGGCCUCAAGCUAUCCACCUGCCUCUGCCUCCCAAAGUGUUGGGAUCACAGAUGUGAGCCACCAUGUCCGGCCAGGGUGUUUUUUUGUUUUGUUUUGUUUUUUGUUUUUUGAGACAGAGUCUCCCUCCCUCUUGUCACCCAGGCUGCAGUGCAGUGGUGAGAUCCCAGCUCACUGCAACCUCCGCCUCCUGGGUUCAAGUGAUUCUCCUGCCUCAGCCUCCCGAGUAGCUGGGAUUACAGGCGUGUGCCACCACGCCUGGCUAAUUUUGUAUUUUUAGUAGAGAGGGGGUUUCUCCAUGUUAGUCAGGCUGGUCUUGAACUCCUGACCUCAGGUGAUCCACCCUCCUUGGCCUCCCAAAGUGCUGGGAUUACAGGCGUGAGCCACUGCGCCCGGCCUAAUUUUUGUAUUUUUAGUAGAUACGGGGUUUCACCACAUUAGCCAGGCUGGUCUUGAACUCCUGACCUCAAGUGAUCUGCCCACCUUGGCCUCCCAAAGUGCUGGGAUUACAGGCGUGAGCCACCAAGCCCAGCCCAGGGUAUAUUCUUAGUAAAUAUAUAAAGAAGUAUGAUGGGGCAACAGAGUGUGAUAGAUGCAACCUACUCUCAAAUGUUUCCAAAAGGCCAGGUGUGGUGGCUCAUGCCUGUAAUCUCAGCACUUUGGGAGGCUGAGGUGGGUGGAUCAUUUGAGGUCAGGAGCUCGAGACCAGCCUGGCCAACAUGGUGAAACCCUGUCUCUACUAAAAUACAAAAAAUUAGCCAGGCGUAGUGGUGCGCGCCUGUAGUUCCAGCUACUCGGGAGGCUGAGGCAGGGGAAUCGCUUGAACCCGGGAGGUGGAGAUUGCAGUGAGCCGAGAUCUUGCCACUGCACUCCAGCCUGGCAACAGAAUGAGUCUCACACACAAACAAGGUUUCCAAAAAAAGCAUAUAUAUAUAUAUAUAUAUACACAUACACACACAUAUAUAUGUAUAAUAUACACACAGAAAGAGAAAAUGCAAAUGUGGCAAAAUAUUAACAACUGGUGAAUCUGGGUAAAUGUUAUCCUGACGUUCUAGACUUUCCUGGAAACGCUAGCCUUUUAACAUCUCUGUACAUUUGAAAUUGUUUCAAAAUAAAGAAUUUGAAGCCCAGGCAUGGUGGCUCACACCUGUAAUCCCAGCACUUUGGUAGGCCGAGGUGGGCAGAUCACCCGAGGUCAGGAGUUCAAGACCAGCCUGAGCAACAUGGAUAAACCCCAUCUCUACUAAAAAUACAAAAUUAGCUGGGCAUGGUGGCGCAUGCCUGUAAUCCCAGCUACUCGGGAGGCUGAGGCAGGAGAAUCGCUUGAACCUGGGACACAGAGGUUGCGAUGAGCCGAGAUCGUGCCAUUGCACUCCAGCCUGGGCAACAAGAGUGAAACUCUGUCUCAAAAAAAAAAAAGAAUUUGCACAUAAGUAGUAAAAUUAGUUCAAAGCUUUUGGAAAUAUAAAAAUAGUAAAAAUUGGCUGGGCACAGUGGCUCACGCCUGUAAUCCCAGCCCUUUGGGAGGCCGAGGCAGGCAGAUCACGAGGUCAGGAUAUCGAGACCAUCCUGGCUAACAUGGUGAAAACCCAUCGCUACUAAAAAUACAAAAAAAUUAGCCAGGAAUGGUGGUGGGCGCCUGUAGUCCCAGCUAUUCGGGAGGCUGAGGCAGGAGAAUGGCGUGAACCCGGGAAGCGGAGCUUGCAGUGAGCCAAGACGGCGCCACUGCACUUCAGUCUGGGUGACAGAGCAAGACUCCGUCUCAAAAAAAAAAGUAAAAAUUGUCCAGGCGCAGUGGCUCAUGCCUGUAAUCCCAGCACUUUGGGAGGCUGAGGCAGGCAGAUCACUUGAGGUAAGGAGUUCGAGACCAGCCUGGCCAACAUGGUGAAACUCCAUCUCUACUAAAAAUACAAAAAUUAGCCGGGCCUGGUGGCAGGCGCCUGUAAUCCCAGCUACUCGGGAGGCUGAGGCAGGAGAAUCGCUUGACCCUGGGAGGUGGACAGAGGUUGCAGUGAGCCGAGAUCAUGCCACUGCACUCCAGCCUGUGCGACAGGUGGAGACUCCAUCUCAAAACAAAAACAGAAAAAAACCCCAACAAACAGAUGAAUGGAUAAAGAAAAUGUGGUACAUAUAUAUAAUGGAGUACUAUUCAGCCAUAAAAAAGAAUGAGAUCCUGUCAUAUGUGACAACAUGAAUGGAACUCGAGGUCAUGAUGCUAAGUGAAAUAAGGUGGGCACAGAGACAAGCUUCAAAAGUUUUCACUUAUUUGUGGGAGCCAAAAAUGAAAAACAGUUGAACUCCUGGAGACAGAGAGUAGAAGGAUGUUUACCAGAGAUUGGGAAGGGUAAUGGAGGCAGGGAAGGCAGAAUGGUUAAUGGGUACAGAGAUAUAGUUAGAUAGAAUAAAUAAGAUCUAGUAUUUGUUUGUAAUGACUUCUGGAUUAAGCAUUUUAAAAAAGAUCUUAGCUGGGCGUGGUGGCACAUGCCUGUAGUCCCAGCUACUCGGGAGGAUGAGGCAGGAGGAUUGCUUGAGCCUGCUGGGAGGUCAAGGCUGCAGUGAGCAGAAAUCACGCCACUGCACUCCAGCCUGAGUAACACAGAGAGACCCUGUCAAAAAAAAAAAGAAAAGGAUUAAAAAAAUUACUUGAUAGCACAACAGGGUGACUACAGUCAACAAUAAUUUAUUGUACAUUUAAAAAUAACUAAAAGAGGGCCAGGCGUGGUGGCUCACGCCUGUCAUCCCAGCACUUUGGGAGGCCAAGGCAGGUGGAUCACUUGAGGUCAGGAGUUCGAGACCAGCCUGGCCCACAUGGUGAAACCCCGUCUCUACUAAAAAUACAAAACUCAGCCAGGUGUGGUGGUGGGUGCCUGUAAUCCCAGCUACUCGGGAGGCUGAGACAGGAGAAUUGCUUAAACCUGGAAGGCAGAGGCUGGGUGUGGUGGCUCACGCCUGUAAUCCCAGCACUUUGGGAGGCCAAGGCAGGUGGAUCAUGAGGUCAGGAGUUCGAGACCAGCCUGACCAACAUGGUGAAACCCCCGUCUCUACUUAAAAUACAAAAAUUAGCCAGGCAUGGUGGUGCACGACUGUAAUCCCAUCUACUCAGGAGGCUGAGGCAGGAGAAUCGCUUGAACACGCAAGGUGGAGGUUGCAGUGAGCCGAGAUUGCACCAUUGCCCUCCAGCCCGGGCAACAGAGAAAGACUGUCUCAAAACAAACAAACAAACAAACAAACAAAAAAACCUGGAAGGCAGAGGUUGCCGUGAGCCAGGAUCUCACCACUGCACUCCAGCCUGGGCGACAGAGUGAGACUCCAUCUCAAAAAAAAAAAAAAAAGGCUGAUCAUGGUGGCUCACGCCUGUAACCCCAGCACUUUGGGAGGCUGAGGUGGGCACAUCACCUGAGGUUGGGAGUUUGAGACCAGCCUAACCAACAUGGAGAAAUCUCUACUAAAAAUACAAAAUUAGUUGGGUGUGGUGGUGCAUGCCUUUAAUCCCAGCUACUUGGGAGCCUGACGCAGGAGAAUCGCUUGAACCCAGAGGCAGAAAUUGCAGUGAACCGAGAUCGCGCCAUUGCACCCCAGACUGGGUGACAAAAGUGAAACUCUGUCUCAAAAAACAAACAAACAAACAAACAAAAAACCCUAAACUAAAAUAGUUUAAUUUGAUUCUUUGUAACACAAAGGAUAAACGUAGGAGGUGCUGGAUACCACAUUUACCCUGAUGUGAUUAUUAUGCAUUGUGUGCCUGUAUCAAAAUAUCUCAUGUACCUUGUAAAUAUAUACACUUACUACGUUCCCACAAAAAAUAAAAAUAAAAAACUAAAAAAAGAGAUAGUUAUCUUUCAUACAAGGAAAGUUCUCACUGUUUCUCCAAAAUGAGACUCACUGUCAUAAUGAUCAUUGCACCAGUUGCUGGCUAUUUUAAUUACUCCUCAAAUUAAGUCAUAGUCUUGAAUGUUCUGCUACCUAAAGGCCGAAUUGUAGAGCUAACCUCCAAUAACUUGUAUAAAAAAUAAGAACGAGGAGAGAAAAAAAAGAAAGCUCUUUCCUCCAUCUUCCCCUGCCACCAAAAUGGCGCAUAUGACUGUCCCGGCUGAUGCUCUCAAGAACAUUGACAGGCUGGGUGCUAUGGCUCAUGCUUGUAAUCCCAGCACUUUGGGAGGCUGAGGCAGGCAGAUCAUGAGGUCAAGAGAUCAAGAACAUCCUGGCCAACAUGGUGAAAUCCUGUCUCUACUAAAAAUACAAAACUUAGCUGGGCGUGGUGGCGCACGCCUGUAAUCCUAGCUACGCGGGAGGCAGGGGCAGGAGAAUCGCUUGAACCCGGGAGGCAAAGGUUGCAGUGAGCCGAGAUCGCACCAUUGCGCUCCAGCCUGGUGAAAGAGGGAGACUCCGUCUCAAAAAGAAAAAAAAAAAAAAUAGAACAUCAACAAUGCCAAAAAGAGAGGCAAAAUGCCAGGUACCUAUUAGGCCAUUCUCCAAAGUCAUCGUCCAGUUUCUAACUGUGAUGAUGAAGCAUGGUUACAUUGGCGAAUUUGAAAUCACUGAUGAUCACACAGCUGGGAAAAUUACUGUAAACCUCACAGGCAGGCUAAACGUGGGAUCAGCCCCAGAUUUGAUGUGCAAAGAUCUAGAAAAAUAGCAGAAUGAUCUGCUUCCAUCCCGCCAGUUUGGUUUCAUUGUACUGACCACCUCAGCUGGCAUCAUGGACCAUGAAGAAGCAAGACGAAAACACACAGGAAGGAAAAUCCUGGGACUCUUUUUCUAGAGAUGUAACACAUAUUUACAAAUAAAAUGCCUAUGGACCAAAUAAAAAAAAAAAGAUGGCUAGCAUGUACAAAUAAAGACAUGAAUAUAUUAUGCAAAAAGGGGCCAGGUGCGGUGGCUCACGCCUGUAAUCUCAGGACUUUGGGAGGCCAAGACGGGCGGAUCACUUGAGGUCAGGAGUUUGAGACCAGCCUGGCCAACAUGGUGAAACUCCAUCUCUACUAAAAAAUACAGAAAUUAGCCAAGCAUGGUGGCACAUGCCUGUAAUCCCAGCUACUCGGGAGGCUGAGGCAGGAGAAUUGCUUGAACCCGGGAGGCAGAGGUUGUAGUGAGCUGAGAUUGAGCCACUGAACUCCAGCCUGGGCGACAGAGUGAGAGUCCA